rnacentral:tRNA from 1 species
UGGCUCAGCGGUUAAGAGCACUGGCUGUUCCCCCAGAGGUCCUGAGUUCAAUUCUCAG